AGCAUAUCAAUAAGCGGAGGAGAAGAAACCAACAGGGAUUGCCUCAGUAACGGCGAGUGAAGCGGCAACAGCUCAGAUUUGGAAUCUGGCCCCGUUCCGGGGGUCCGAGUUGUAGUCUGGAGAGGAUGCUUCGGGGGUGGGCCGGGUCUAAGUUCCUUGGAAUAGGGCGUCAGAGAGGGUGAGAGUCCCGUCUGCGACCCGGACCCCUCCCUCGGGUGAAGCUCCCUCGACGAGUCGAGUUGUUUGGGAAUGCAGCUCAAACCGGGUGGUAAAUCUCAUCUAAAGCUAAAUACCCGCCGGAGACCGAUAGCGCACAAAUAGAGUGAUCGAAAGAUGAAAAGCACUUUGAAAAGAGAGUUAAACAGCACGUGAAAUUGUUGAAAGGGAAGCGCUCGCGAUCAGACUUGCUCGCGGUUCCUCAGACGACGGUGCCCCGUCGACGCACUGGGCCACGGGCAGGCCAGCAUCGGUUUGGGGGGCAGAAGAAGGACAUUAGGAAUGUGGCUCCCCUCGGGGUGCGUUAUAGCCCGAUGUGCGACGCUGUCCCCCGGACCGAGGCCCGCGCUCCGGCAAGGAUGCUGGCGUAAUGGUCGCCAGCGACCCGUCUUGAAACACGGACCAAGGAGUCUAACAUCCACGCGAGUGUUUGGGUGUCAAGCCCCGACGCGCAAUGAAAGUGAACGGAGGUGGGAACCCGCAGGGGUGCACCAUCGACCGAUCCUGAAGUUCACGGAUGGAUUUGAGUACGAGCGUGGCUGUUGGGACCCGAAAGAUGGUGAACUAUGCCUGAAUAGGGUGAAGCCAGAGGAAACUCUGGUGGAGGCUCGCAGCGGUUCUGACGUGCAAAUCGAUCGUCAAAUUUGGGUAUAGGGGCGAAAGACUAAUCGAACCAUCGUUUGAGGGCACGUAGCUGCUAGGUGGUCGAGAGGCGACGUGAAUCGCCGCCUAGUCCCUCGAUCCGAGGGGCAACACUGCUAAAUUGCGGGGACGUCCUUAGAGCUCGAGCAACCGCCACCCUAUCGAAAGAAGGGGUGUGUACCGGGUUAACCGCCACGGGCAAGGUAACAUCGCUUGAGAUUGGGUGAUCCGCAGCGUGGUCCUGUUGAUCUUUUGGGGGUCAAUGGAUGACGUUCACAGACUAGAUAGCAGUGGGUGGACCGUGCGUGGAGACGUCCGCUUAAGGUAUAGUCGGGCCGCCGGGAGAUCCGGCCGGGGGGCGGCCCUGCCGCACCGUGUGAGGCGCCGCGGGCCCAUCCCCGGGGGUGACCCGAGGCUUCGGGCCACCCUGGGAUGAUCGCUAGUAGCUGGUUCCUGCCGAAGUUUCCCUCAGGAUAGCAGUAACGCGUGGCAGUUUUAUGAGGUAAAGCGAAUGAUUAGAGGCCUUGGGGUUGAAACAACCUUAACCUAUUCUCAAACUUUGAAUAUGUAAGAAGUCCUUGUUGCUUGGUUGAACGUGGACAUUCGAAUGUACCGUUACUAGUGGGCCAUUUUUGGUAAGCAGAACUGGCGAUGCGGGAUGAACCGAACGCGGGGUUAAGGUGCCGGAAUGCACGCUCAUCAGACACCACAAAAGGUGUUGGUUCAUCUAGACAGCAGGACGGUGGCCAUGGAAGUCGGAACCCGCUAAGGAGUGUGUAACAACUCACCUGCCGAAUGAACUAGCCCUGAAAAUGGAUGGCGCUCAAGCGUGCUACCCAUACCCCGCCGCCAGGGUAGGAACGAUGCCCUGGCGAGUAGGCAGGCGUGGGGGUCCGUGACGAAGCCUCGGGAGCGAUCCCGGGUCGAACGGCCUCUAGUGCAGAU
rnacentral:rRNA from 1 species